AACUUUGUGUCGGUAAGUGGAUCAUCACUGGUGAUUAAUUGAUAACCGUGACAGUGACAGAAUGGUUAUGAGUAACGUUUUAAGGUUCUGGUAUCUGGUGAGAUAAAACUUAAUAUGAUAAUAAUAGGUUAAUAAUAGGUUUUUCAUAGCCCGAUGCGGCAAGAAACUACCAGCGUUCUAUUGCAAACAUCUGAUUGUCAUCAGAUAAAUACGGAUUAUAUUGAUUAAUAUUGGUUAAUCAAUUCAGUAUCUUAUCUUGCGGUAUAUUUGCACUAUUUAUAUACUGUCUCAGCACGAGAACGACUAUUACGGUUUCAAGAGGACAUCUUGCACAUUAACAAUCAUGAAGAGCUUCAUUCUCAUCGCACUGUUGUCAACGUUGUCAGUCUGUGCGCUCCUUAGAGCCUGCAGAAUGUACUAUGACAGUGGAUAAUGGAAAAACCGUUCAAACAUAUUACUGCAAUGAAAUGAUUCACUGAAGUCAACAGAUUGUUCAAUAAUUAUUGGAGUUAACAGAUUGUUUAUCAAUUAUUGGAGUCAAAUAAAUUGUUCAUUCAUGA